CUCUCUCUCUCUCUCUCUCUCCCUCAUUCUCAUAUCGUUUUCGGCACAAACCCUUUUUUUUAUUUUUUUAUUUUUGGGUGCGCAAACUGCUCCUCAGAUCUCUGUUCAUGGCGAUUGCUAUUCAGAUUACGCGAAUGAUGAAAGAUCUCACCUAUUUCUCGGCAAUCGGAGUUGUAGAAACACCAAAAAUCUCACGAUUUCAGAUCUCUGUCUACCGGUGUCAAAUCUCACCACCACAUCUCCUCAACCAGAUUAUUUGGCCAGAUUUGCUCAAUCUUCCAUAGACUGGACAUAAGAGAAGCUGAGGGAGGAACCAGAAUUGGUAUUAAUCCAUCAAUGCUAGACAGUUUUGCAAAUUUCAAUGGAAAGCAGCAUAUAGUGCAAAUUGGGAACAUGUGCUAUGAAGACAAUUCAUUUUAGAGAGAAACUAAAGACUCAUGUUAUAAGGAAGUAUAUCAAUCCAGAAUGGAAUAACGAUUUAACACUUUCCAUUUCAGAUCUUGAUCUUCCAAUCAAGCUGGAAAUUGGUGAGUAUGAACUUGUUGAUAUAUUGACUCCUUUAGAGAAGACACGAUUUUGGGAUGGAGUGAAAGCUGCCAGGUGGUCAGAGUGAAAGGAGGCUGUCGAUGAGCUAACUAAGCUAGCAUCCACAAAAAGGAUAGCUCCCGGUGAUUUUACAGAAAUCUAUUGAACACUUAAGAAGGGUUACUUGAUGCUCUUUGGUCAUUUUGAUGUUCAAUGGUUUGGCUUUGAAGUUUGGUGGUGGCUGGAACCUUUUUCGCCAUGAUGUUCGAGAGAGUACACAACAACAGCAACAUGUAGACUAGAACAAUGCUUCCAUGGAAUUGAUCAAUAGUGUGACUGGCAC